UGCAACCUGAGCUCAGUCGUGAUUACCCGCUGAACUUAAGCAUAUCACUUAGCGGAGGAAAAGAAACUAAAAUCUC
rnacentral:rRNA from 1 species